rnacentral:rRNA from 1 species
UAACCUUUUAGGAGCUAGUCGUCUAAGGUGGGACAGAUGAUUAGGGUGAAGUCGUAACAAGGUAGCCGUAGGAGAACCUGCGGCUGGAUCACCUCCUUUCUAAGGAAAUUUCGG